UUGCUCAUAAAAAGACUUAUAUCUGAUUAGCUAGUUGGUGAGAUAAAAGCCCACCAAGGCGAUGAUCAGUAGCUGGUCUGAGAGGAUGAACAGCCACACUGGAAUUGAAAAACGGUUCAG
rnacentral:rRNA from 1 species